CCUACGGGGGGCAGCAGUGGGGAAUAUUGCACAAUGGGCGAAAGCCUGAUGCAGCAACGCCGCGUGAAGGAAGAAGGGUUUCGGCUCGUAAACUUCUAUCAACAGGGACGAAAGAAAUGACGGUACCUGAAUAAGAAGCCCCGGCUAACUACGUGCCAGCAGCCGCGGUAAUACGUAGGGGGCAAGCGUUAUCCGGAUUUACUGGGUGUAAAGGGAGCGUAGACGGCUUGGCAAGCCAGAUGUGAAAGGCUGGGGCUCAACCCCAGGACUGCAUUUGGAACUGUCAUGCUAGAGUGUCGGAGAGG
rnacentral:rRNA from 1 species